rnacentral:rRNA from 1 species
UGAACGCUAGCUACAGGCUUAACACAUGCAAGUCGAGGGGAAACGGCAUUGAGUGCUUGCACUCUUUGGACGUCGACCGGCGCACGGGUGAGUAACGCGUAUCCAACCUUCCCAUUACUGUGGGAUAACCUGCCGAAAGGCAGACUAAUACCGCAUAGUCUUCGAUGACGGCAUCAGAUUUGAAGUAAAGAUUUAUCGGUAAUGGAUGGGGAUGCGUCUGAUUAGCUUGUUGGCGGGGUAACGGCCCACCAAGGCGACGAUCAGUAGGGGUUCUGAGAGGAAGGUCCCCCACAUUGGAACUGAGACACGGUCCAAACUCCUACGGGAGGCCGCAGUGAGGAAUAUUGGUUAAUGGACGGAAGUCUGAACCAGCCAAGUAGCGUGCAGGAUGACGGCCCUAUGGGUUGUAAACUGCUUUUGUAUGGGGAUAAAGUUAGGGACGUGUCCCUAUUUGCAGGUACCAUACGAAUAAGGACCGGCUAAUUCCGUGCCAGCAGCCGCGGUAAUACGGAAGGUCCAGGCGUUAUCCGGAUUUAUUGGGUUUAAAGGGAGCGUAGGCUGGAGAUUAAGUGUGUUGUGAAAUGUAGACGCUCAACGUCUGAAUUGCAGCGCAUACUGGUUUCCUUGAGUACGCACAACGUUGGCGGAAUUCGUCGUGUAGCGGUGAAAUGCUUAGAUAUGACGAAGAACUCCGAUUGCGAAGGCAGCUGACGGGAGCGCAACUGACGCUUAAGCUCGAAGGUGCGGGUAUCAAACAGGAUUAGAUACCCUGGUAGUCCGCACAGUAAACGAUGGAUGCCCGCUGUUGGUACCUGG